rnacentral:tRNA from 1 species
GCGACACUAGCUCAGUUGGUAGAGCGCAACCUUGCCAAGGUUGAGGUCACGAGUUCGCACCUCGUGUGUCGCUCCA